UAUAACCUUAACGUUCCUUGGCGAGCUGAAUCACUUCCUGUGGCCUUUUAACUGCAUUCACCAAAUCAAAUUCAUGAAGAUGAAACAGAAGGUUCUAGAAUAGGCCAGGACGCCGCGGGAGCGCCAAGUUUGGAAAUCGCUGCGCUUGUGUUAUGACAAGGAACGGCCCGACCACGGCGUCUCUAAGGCGGUUUGUUUGGCAGCGGGGAUUCCUGAAACAUGUGAGGAGAAAGAAAAAUGGCGUCUGGAACCAGCAGCAGGUCAAAGAUGGACACUGAGGCGAUCCUUACAGGCAGGCUGAGGAUCCGCCCGACUGUCAGAGGAAGGGUAGGAUAAUUCAAACAACUGGCCAAAGAUGUCUCAAAUCUCAGUGUGAACGCGACGCCGUCCCCUCUGCUUCCGUCUGUCGGAACCGGAGCUCCAAAGCGGCCCGGUCCUCUCAGACGUUGGUCUCCAGGCCGUUCAUGUCCACAGAACAGUGGUCCUUGUCUCUGUGCUCUCGCU